ACGGCCACAUCACGUUGAAACCUCGGUUCCCGUAGAAUCACCGAAAUUAAAUAACAUCGAGCCUGGUCUGUACAUAGAUGGGUGACCCCUUGGAAAUACCAGGUGCUGUAAG